GUGGCUUCCGUCGGGGCGCCUGGACGCCAUCUCGGUCUUUCGAGGAUGGAAGUCAGCAAGUGGAAUGAUGCUCGGCACGAGUGCAAGGUGGCAUCUGAUGGACAGUUCUGUGCCAAAGGAAUGAGAACCGCUGCUUGGGUCUUAAGGUGCAAGCAUCACUCUCUUGCCAUGGGCAGACAGACACUAAAAAGGACUAACUGGAAGUUGGAAUGGCAUUUUUUAGAUUGGUAAGGAGAAAAUUCAUCUUCGGCUAUUUGAAAACCACUCUUUUUUUUCUUAGGCGGACUUAGUUUCUUGACAUGUCUGGACUGGCUUGAUUUACUUCUUCUGUUGGAUACAGAUUUUUAUCCAUGGAUGGCAUGCUUGGGAUGCAGGUUUUGGAGACAUUUAAAAUAAAGGUGUGAGAAGUUGGGUUGGCUACAAGUCCAGGAAUAAAGAGUUUUAGCAGAGGCAGACCUGAAACCAUGGAGAUUUCCAGGCAUUUAUGGUAGCGGUCAUGGCAACUGGCUGACCUUUGAGAGGCAGCUGGAUGGAUACUCAUGGGAUAGAAGAUCAACUUUGAAUUUUAAUAAAUUUUUAUAAACCAUCUGA